GAUGAACGCUGGCGGCGUGCCUAAUACAUGCAAGUCGAGCGAACGGACGAGAAGCUUGCUUCUCUGAUGUUAGCGGCGGACGGGUGAGUAACACGUGGAUAACCUACCUAUAAGACUGGGAUAACUUCGGGAAACCGGAACUAAUACCGGAUAAUAUUUUGAACCGCAUGGUUCAAAAGUGAAAGACGGUCUUGCUGUCACUUAUACAUGGAUCCGCGCUGCAUUAGCUAGUUGGUAAGGUAACGGCUUACCAAGGCAACGAUGCAUAGCCGACCUGAGAGGGUGAUCGGCCACACUAGAACUGAGACACGGUCCAGACUCCUACGGGAGGCAGCAGUAGGGAGUCUUCCGCAAUGGGCGAAUGCCUGACUGAGCAACGCCGCGUGAGUGAUGAAGGUCUUCUGAUCGUAAAACUCUGUUAUUAGGGAAGAACAUAUGUGUAAGUAACUGUGCACAUCUUGACGGUACCUAAUCAGAAAGCCACGGCUAACUACGUG
rnacentral:rRNA from 1 species